rnacentral:rRNA from 1 species
UACGUAGGCAGCGAGCGUUGUUCGGAGUUACUGGGCGUAAAGGGUGCGUAGGUGGCGCGGUAAGUUUGCUGUGAAAUCUCCGAGCUCAACUCGGAAACUGCAUUGAAUACUAUCUUGCUAGAGGGUUGGAGGGGAGGCUGGAAUUCUCGGUGUAGCAGUGAAAUGCGUAGAUAUCGAGAGGAACACCAGUGGCGAAGGCGAGUCUCUAGACAACUCCUGACACUGAGGCACGAAAGCGAGGGGAGCAAACAGG